GGGAAUGUGCCCUUCGGGAACUGUGAGACAGGUGCUGCAUGGCUGUCGUCAGCUCGUGUUGUGAAAUGUUGGGUUAAGUCCCGCAACGAGCGCAACCCUUAUCCUUUGUUGCCAGCGGUCCGGCCGGGAACUCAAAGGAGACUGCCAGUGAUAAACUGGAGGAAGGUGGGGAUGACGUCAAGUCAUCAUGGCCCUUACGACCAGGGCUACACCCGUGCUACAAUGGCGCAUACAAAGAGAAGCGACCUCGCGAGAGCAAGCGGACCUCAUAAAGUGCGUCGUAGUCCGGAUUGGAGUCUGCAACUCGACUCCAUGAAGUCGGAAUCGCUAGUAAUCGUGGAUCAGAAUGCCACGGUGAAUACGUUCCCGGGUCUUGUACACACCG
rnacentral:rRNA from 1 species